rnacentral:tRNA from 1 species
AGUUGGCUCAGUGGUAGAGUGCUUGCCUUGCAUGCAUGAGGCCCUGGGUUCGAUUCCUCAGUACUA